CAAUAUGAAAAGAGUUAAGUAAUUUACAGUGUUUAUUUUUAUUCUUGCCUCAUUCUCUGUAGAGAAUAUAUGUAACUCGGAAUACCUAAAGUCAAGUGGUCUCCUAAUGGAGGAUAUACGAGAAGGAAUAAAGGGGGUUGUCGUUGACGUAUUUGACAUCUUUGAAGGUAAUUCCACCCAGCAACACACACACUUGCCAACAUAAGAUACAAAUCAUAGUGAUACACAGAAGAAGCAGAAUUGUCAUUUACUUGAGUUAAGAAAUAUUAUUUGUUGUAACAUUUGGGGUAAAAGGAUUAUGCAAAUCUAUAUAGAACAAUUUUCAUUCUUCAUUCUUAUCUCUUAAGGAAUGUUUUCAUCAAUUACUUUUUCAGGAACAAUACACACAGUGACCUACUAUCCAGACAUGAUGUUAACUGGAACAGUGGAUGCAAUCAGAUAUGUGACAAGCAUGAUGAAAGGUAUUUUACUAUUUGUUAACUGAAUCUGAAUUAAACAUAAAAACACACACAGACACACACACACACACACACACACACACACUAGUCUGCACGCACAUAGACGCCAGAUAUAUACGAGGACAGAGUAAGACCAAAAAAAAAAUCUUGUUUGUUGUACCAUCAUUUGGAAAAUAUGGUUUGCAAUGACACCUAAUACAUCCCUCCAUUUGUUGCCUCAUAUUUUUAGGGAACCGCCCCAAACUGGACACUCUGAAGUAUGGGGGUGUGGCAUUGGAAAACAUACGAGAUGGCCUUAAGGGCGUCAUCGGCUGCUUAUUUGACCUCUUCGAGGGAACACUCGAUGCUGUGGCCUUCUUUCCUCACAAGAUUUUGACUGGAGCAGCUGAUGGAUUCAAAUAUGUGACAAGUGUGGUGUCUGUGCCAAGCUUCCUCGCUCUCCCUACAGGUAUUUCACAGGUCUAAACACCUGGCACAUUAAAAUACUGCUUAGGUUUUAAUGCAGCUAAAACAAAGAAGACCAAACUAAGAUUGAGAUAAAUAAAUGCGAAGUCUUGUCCUCUAUAUUUAUUCUC
rnacentral:lncRNA from 1 species